AACGAACGCUGGCGGCGCGUCUUAAGCAUGCAAGUCGAACGGCAAGAUUGGUGCUUGUCACCGAUCCUAGAGUGGCGGACUGGUGAGUAACGCGUGGGUGACGUACCCUAAGGAUGGGGAUAGCUGGUAGAAAUAUCAGAUAAUACCGAAUAUCCUUAAUUGUUGUUAGAGGACAGUAAGGAAAGGAGCUUUGGCUUCGCCUAAGGAUCGGCCCGCGUACUAUUAGCUAGUUGGUGAGGUAACGGCUCACCAAGGCGACGAUAGUUAUCCGGCCUAAGAGGGUGAACGGACACAUUGGGACUGAGAUACGGCCCAGACUCCUAUGGGAGGCAGCAGCU
rnacentral:rRNA from 1 species